AAGCUGUGCAUUGUAUGGUUUCUUCUUACAGAUCUUAAAUCAACUGGAAGUGGUGAAAGAAUUUCUGAGAAACAACGAGGAUCUUAGAAAUGGUCUUACAGAAGAUAUGCAGAAGCUAGACAGCCUCCACCAACAGCCUCAAAAACUGGAUUCGAAGGAACCUAGGGCACAGACACCUGAAGGGAAGGCCUGAAGUUGACCUUCAACAAAAAUCAGGCAUGUUCUGUGAAAGUCAGCCGGGCUUCCAUCUCAGCCGUCCUUUUCUGUGCAAAAGGGAAAACUUACCCAAGCACUCCACUCAAACAAAAAGGAAUUUGUGUCAUCUUUUCCUGGACUUUCCUUUAACUCUUUGGGAGUUUUGUUUUGUUUUGUUUUGUUUUUUUAACAUUCCUAAGCUUGGUGUUAUGUGAUCUGUACCAGCCAAAAAAUAUUAGAUGCUCUUGUGCCAAA